rnacentral:lncRNA from 1 species
GUUUUAAUAUUGCGUGAAAACUUUUGUCCAUAAGAAAUUAUCCCUCGGCCCAUCCCUCCUUUUCCCCUAUGUCUAUAAAGGGUUUAUUCCUUAUGUUUGUGUGUUUUUCUAAUCUGAGUGUUAUUUUGAUUCAGCAGACCAUUUUGGAAUGAACAUUUCCCGGCAUCAUUUUAACUGCCUAAACAGUUCGUAAAUAGUGUGUAUUUGUAUAAAAGACGCCACUGUGCAGAAACGUCAAAAUGACGCCCUUGGACAUAAUGGCUAGACAUAGGGAAUGCUUUCCG